GCGAUUCGCCCUUCGGGGUGCAGCAGGCGCGAAAACUUUACAAUGCUGGAAACAGCGAUAAGGGGACCUCGAGUGCCAGGUUACAAAUCUGGCUGUCGUGAUGCCUAAAAAGCAUUGCAUAGCAAGGGCCGGGCAAGACCGGUGCCAGCCGCCGCGGUAACACCGGCGGCUCGAGUGGUAACCGUUAUUAUUGGGUCUAAAGGGUCUGUAGCCGGCCGGAUAAGUCUCUUGAGAAAUCCAGCAGCUCAACUGUUGGGCUUUCAGGAGAUACUGUCUGGCUCGAGGCCGGGAGAGGUGAGAGGUACUUCAGGGGUAGGGGUGAAAUCUUGUAAUCCUUGAAGGACCACCAGUGGCGAAGGCGUCUCACCAGAACGGACCUGACGGCAAGGGACGAAAGCUAGGGGCACGAACCGGAUUAGAUACCCGGGUAGUCCUAGCCGUAAACGAUACUCGCUAGGUGUCGGCCACGGUGCGACCGUUGUCGGUGCCGUAGGGAAGCCGUGAAGCGAGCCACCUGGGAAGUACGGCCGCAAGGCUGAAACUUAAAGGAAUUGGCGGGGGAGCAC
rnacentral:rRNA from 1 species